rnacentral:misc_RNA from 1 species
CACCUUAAUAGACGUCGGGGCGCGACGUCGAAUUCGGCCGGCCCCGCUCCGCGGGGGCCGGAACAUGUCCGCACACGCAUCGACACAACCGGCCGGGUGCCUUGCUUGUACAAGGUUGCCGUUUGGGAUGCGUGGAGGCCCAACC